UACGAAGGUGGCAAGCGUUGUUCGGAUUUACUGGGCGUACAGGGAGCGUAGGCGGUUCGGUAAGCCCUCUGUGAAAUCUCCAGGCUUAACCUGGAACAGUCGGAGGGGACUGCUGGGCUAGAGGACGGGAGAGGAGCGCGGAAGUUCCCGGUGUAGCGGUGAAAUGCGUAGAGAUCGGGAGGAAGGCCGGUGGCGAAGGCGGCGCUCUGGAACGUUUCUGACGCUGAGGCUCGAAAGCGUGGGGAGCAAACAGG
rnacentral:rRNA from 1 species